UACGGAGGGUGCAAGCGUUAUCCGGAUUCACUGGGUUUAAAGGGUGCGUAGGUGGGAAGGUAAGUCAGUGGUGAAAUCCCCGAGCUUAACUUGGGAACUGCCAUUGAAACUGUUUAGCUGGAGUAUGAGAGAGGUGAGUGGAAUUCCCAGUGUAGAGGUGAAAUUCGUAGAUAUUGGGAAGAACACCGGUGGCGAAGGCGGCUCACUGGCUCAUUACUGACGCUCAUGCGCGACAGCGUGGGGAUCAAACAGG
rnacentral:rRNA from 1 species